UAUUGCAUCACUUAUUCACUUCAUUUAUUAAACAUAACUCUUCACUUCCCCUUCUUUUGUCUUCUGAUAAUAAUUCCUUUUUAAACAACUAUCUCCUUUUAUGAGUUCUACACUUCUACUCUACUUAAAUUACAUUAUUUGAUGAGAUGUUAUUAAUCCUACAAUACUGAAACUGCGUUACGGCUUCUAUUUUUAUUUAGCAAUGCGAGGGGAAUGUAAGGAAUUAACCAUUCUAACAAGAAGAAGAAGUUCAUGAGUUAAUGCAUGAUUUCAAGAGCUAAAAGCUUAAUCAAGCUUGAUUAAUACGAAGGUACAAGGUAAUAUGAGCCAAAAAGGUGGUGGCCGGUUCAGAGAAGUGGAAAAAGAUAUUAACACAGCUGGAGAAUAGCAUAUGCAUGGAGUUAAAUUGGAUACAUCUUUUAAGAAAAGGUUAAGAAAAGGAAAGUCUCUCUAUUUAAGAGUUUGUAUGAUAUCAUUUGUCAUAUAUCAUUUUUGGUUCUAAGAUUCUAAAGGUAUAUGAUAUUGAUUAUAUUCUGAACUUAUAUUAUUCAUAGGCAUCAUACUGAUGAUGCUUAUAGACUAGUUAACUGAAAA